rnacentral:lncRNA from 1 species
UGUCUUAAUACUUUUUUUUCAAGUUGCCUUUUUUUUCAAUUGAGGAAGAUUCAAUGGUUAUUUUUUUUUUUAUUAAAAAUACACUCUUUAAUACGUUGUCUUAUAAAUCUUUUAAUAUCUACAUUUUUCUGAUGAAAAUACUCUACUCAUGAAAACAUUCUAGUCAAGAGGCAUACAUGUCUGAAUAUAUUUCUUUAAAACAGUUCUAGUCAGAAUGACAUUCCUUGUUUAUAAGUGUUCCAGUAUUUAAUAAUUAUACCAUAUUUUAUGUCAUAAAUUGGAUAAUGACACUAUGUUAAAGUUUCAGUUUUGGUUAAAAAGUUUUUUUAUCUGAAAAUGCCUGUUCAUUUGAUGUUGGUUUUCAGCAUGUCCAGUGUUUGUUGUUUUAAAAUGUUUUUUUUUUCUUCACAAGAAACUUGGUUUAGUGUAACUGCUUGUUUAAACUGUAUUUUGGCUGAUUAAAUAAAAUAUUUUUCCUACCUACCGACCCUUCAGUCUGAAGGUACAGUCGGAAAACUGCAAACAAACAUAUUUUUAAGGUUGGCCACAUUUAAAAGAAUGUCUGUUUCCCCUCUCCCGGGUCUACCCUUGGUUAACAGACCAGGAAGGCGAUUAUUUUUUUUUUUUAACUUGAAGUCAUAGCCUCUUCACAUAAUGGUUUGACUGUUCAGUUGAGGCCACUUAUCAGUUAUUUAUGCUCAAUUUGAGUGUAUUUAUUGAAAUUAUCGAUCCUUUUGCUUUCAAGCACUACAAAAAUAGAAACAAAUCAUUUUCAGGAAUAAAAAUAAGUUUGAUUUGUUUUAGGAAAACAAUUUUUUGACCAGGGGGCUUAUUUUUUACCCGGGUGAGGGGAGGGGAAACAAACAUAUUUUUAAUUUUGGC